UUCGCAACACAUCUAUAUAGUGGAAUAUUGGAACGAAUAAAGUGUGAAACACUGAAUCGGAUCCUAUUUUCGAAAAACAAAAUAAAAUCACUCUCCUAAACGAAUUUCUACAUUUUUAGACCCAAUUUGCAUGCCUUUCCGGACGUUUUUCAAUAAUCGAGACUGUUUAAGUUUUACAACGCUUUAAUUUCAUCAAUCUAGGAAAAAAUUAGAUCCAUCCGAUAUCGUUUGGUAAAUUUUCUCAACACAUUCAUAUUGUGGAAUAUUGGAAGAAUUUUAAGUGUGAAACACUGAAUCGCAACCUAUUUUUGAUUCUUUCUGGCGCCUCCGUAACGCUAUUCUCUAUUUAAUUGCUGCCCAUUAACUGUUUGAUGAAAUGUCUCGCUCACUUCAACUCCAGUUAGAAGUAAUGGGAUUAUGCUUUGUUAUGUGCAGACAUUGCCGCCAUUGGAAGGUGCUCACAGGGACCACGGCAAAGAACCGCAAAAGGGAUGAAUUUGGUGUCCCUACUUGACCAGAUUGUUGGGCUUUGUUUAACCCGGUGGAAAAACCAAGCAUUAAAAUGGGAAGGCGAUCAGUGCCGUCAAAGAGGAAGCUGAAUUCUUGUGUCUCCUCUGAGUUGGUUAUUCAUAGUGGAAGUGCGGCUUCAAGGACCAUCUACCAAAUGGAGGCAAAUUUCGGGUUAUUAGCUGGGAAUUGUCGAAUGGGUUUAUUUUGGUUACUUGUAUCAGCAAUCUCUUUUAGUUUUUCUCAGUUAACUUCUUGUCUUAGUCCCUUUAAUCAUUGUACCUCCUACAUUUAAUGAAUAAAUUCUUUUUUGCCGUUCAAAAAAAAAA